rnacentral:rRNA from 1 species
UACGGAGGGUGCAAGCGUUAUCCGGAUUCACUGGGUUUAAAGGGGGCGUAGGUGGCGAGGUAAGUUUGAUGUGAAAUCUCCGGGCUUAACCCGGAAACUGCAUUGAAUACUAUCUUGCUCGAGGUUUGGAAGGGGGACUGGAAUUCUCGGUGUAGCAGUGAAAUGCGUAGAUAUCGAGAGGAACACCAGUGGCGAAGGCGAGUCCCUGGACAACACCUGACACUGAGGCACGAAAGCUAGGGGAGCAAACAGG